UGAGGCCUUAGCUUAAUUAAAGUGUCUGAGUUGCAUUCAGGAGAUGCGUAUUAAUGUUUCGCAGGUUUUA
rnacentral:tRNA from 5 species